GCCUGCUCGAUUCCGGCAGGUAGGCGGGAGAACAAUGGAUCUGGAGCUGUCGGCCUCCGGCAAAUCCUGUAUGUGCUGCCCACAGUGGUGAUCUUUGCUGGGAGUCUUUUCCUCCAGGACUUUCAGAGUGUCAGUGUGAUGGAAUCAGCUUUGACAAACGCAGUCUCUGUUCCUGUCAUCUGGAUGUGGAGAUAUGUGGUUCUUAAAAAUCAAAAUGUCCAGGGCUCUGCAGACACGUGGCAGAGGUCUCCAGACCCCCAGCAGGACACAGUUCUGGCUGGAGUAGAAAAGGACAGAAGACGCGCAGCGGUGGGAGAAGAUGGCAGGAUGGAGUGUGGACGGGCGGCUCAAGCGUCUAGGGUGCGUGCGGGCGUCAGCCAUCAGACACGGGAGGGGUGAC